rnacentral:rRNA from 1 species
UACGUAGGUGGCAAGCGUUGUCCGGAUUUACUGGGCGUAAAGGAUGCGUAGGCGGAAUGAUAAGUCAGAUGUGAAAUACCCAGGCUCAACCUGGGGGGUGCAUUUGAAACUGUCAUUCUAGAGUGCGGGAGAGGAAAGUGGAAUUCCUAGUGUAGCGGUGAAAUGCGUAGAGAUUAGGAAGAACACCAGUGGCGAAGGCGACUUUCUGGACCGUAACUGACGCUGAGGCAUGAAAGCGUGGGGAGCAAACAGG